UCACCACGCCCCUCCCCCUCGCCGUCUCUUCUCUGCAUCGUACCGUUCGUUGCCCUAUCUCCUGCCCCCUCUUCGCCGCACCCACGCGUGGAGUUUGCGUGUGUGUGUGUGCGUGCGGUGUGUUGUAUUCUUCGUUCAUGCCCGACACGUCGCGAGAGAGCGAGUGGAGUGAUCGUUAUGAUGGUGAUGGUGGUGAUCACGGUAAACGCAGAACACAGAUCCAGGGUUAGCAAGACAAAACUCCAACCCCUAAAGGGCGUCCGACGAAAAGUAAAACUAAGCACCAAAAAAAAGGACAAUGAACCACACCAGUGAUUAGGUAACGAGAGACAGGGAGAGGUCGGGUGCGAAGGGCAGGAGGGAGGGCCUCGAGGCACGCAGGCGAUACCAGAGCGGAGAAUCUGCACCUUCUUCCCUCCCCCUUCCACCCCCUCCACCUUGCAUCCCUACGGCACCGCACGAACAGAUGCACGUGCACUCACAUUUUAUGUGAGUACAAGAAUCAGUGCGGGUAGGGGAGCUGACGGUGCUGUCUAGCAGACUAAGAGACGCAUGCUCAAGGCCUCAGGAUAUACCUGCCCGUUUUGUAAGGGAGCGCGUUCACUGCCUCUGUGCCGCUGUCUGGUGAACGCGUGCGAGCUUCACGCGAGGCUGGGCGUGAAGGAGCACCAGGUGGAAUCGCCGAGUGAUGCCAAGGGCCCUUCUCUCUUUCCUCGACGAGGGGGCACAUGCAAUGCCCGUGUAGCUUGUACACCGGCAUUUCCCUCUACUUGUCUCUUUGUGCGCGCCGCCCUCUUCAACGUCUCUUCACCCACAACGCCGCGCGUGCCCAUGUGCAUACGCUGCGCUCGUUGCUGUGUUUUCUUCUUAUGACAUCGUCUGGCCCCUGACGACGGGGGGGGGCACCUCGGUGCGUGGUAG
rnacentral:misc_RNA from 1 species